GAUGAACGCUGGCGGCGUGCCUAAUACAUGCAAGUCGAGCGAACAGAUGAGGAGCUUGCUCCUCUGACGUUAGCGGCGGACGGGUGAGUAACACGUGGAUAACCUACCUAUAAGACCGGGAUAACUUCGGGAAACCGGAGCUAAUACCGGAUAAUAUAUUGAACCGCAUGGUUCAAUAGUGAAAGACGGUUUUGCUGUCACUUAUAGAUGGAUCCGCGCCGCAUUAGCUAGUUGGUAAGGUAACGGCUUACCAAGGCAACGAUGCGUAGCCGACCUGAGAGGGUGAUCAGCCACACUGGAACUGAGACACGGUCCAGACUCCUACGGGAGGCAGCAGUAGGGAAUCUUCCGCAAUGGGCGAAAGCCUGACGGAGCAACGCCGCGUGAGUGAUGAAGGUCUUCGGAUCGUAAAACUCUGUUAUUAGGGAAGAACAAAUGUGUAAGUAACUAUGCACGUCUUGACGGUACCUAAUCAGAAAGCCACGGCUAACUACGUG
rnacentral:rRNA from 1 species